AUACGUAGGGUGCGAGCGUUAAUCGGAAUUACUGGGCGUAAAGCGUGCGCAGGCGGUGAUGUAAGACAGAUGUGAAAUCCCCGGGCUCAACCUGGGAACUGCAUUUGUGACUGCAUCGCUGGAGUGCGGCAGAGGGGGAUGGAAUUCCGCGUGUAGCAGUGAAAUGCGUAGAUAUGCGGAGGAACACCGAUGGCGAAGGCAAUCCCCUGGGCCUGCACUGACGCUCAUGCACGAAAGCGUGGGGAGCAAACAGGAUUAGAUACCCUGGUAGUCCACGCCCUAAACGAUGUCAACUGGUUGUUGGGUCUUCACUGACUCAGUAACGAAGCUAACGCGUGAAGUUGACCGCCUGGGGAGUACGGCCGCAAGGUUGAAACUCAAAUGAAUUGACGGGG
rnacentral:rRNA from 1 species